AGAGUUUGAUCCUGGCUCAGAUUGAACGCUGGCGGCAUGCCUAACACAUGCAAGUCGAACGGCAGCACAGGUAGCAAUACCGGGUGGCGAGUGGCGGACGGGUGAGGAAUACAUCGGGACCUGCCCAGACGUGGGGGAUAACGUAGGGAACUUACGCUAAUACCGCAUACGUCCUACGGGAGAAAGCGGGGGAUCGCAAG
rnacentral:rRNA from 1 species